CGAACCUGGAGAUAGCUGGUUCUCUCCGAAAUAGCUUUAGGGCUAGCCUCAAGUGAUGAUUAUUGGAGGUAGAGCACUGUUUGGACGAGGGGCCCCUCUCGGGUUACCGAAUUCAGACAAACUCCGAAUGCCAAUUAAUUUAACUUGGGAGUCAGAACAUGGGUGAUAAGGUCCGUGUUCGAAAGGGAAACAGCCCAGACCACCAGCUAAGGUCCCAAAAUAUAUGUUAAGUGGAAAAGGAUGUGGCGUUGCCCAGACAACUAGGAUGUUGGCUUAGAAGCAGCCAUCAUUUAAAGAGUGCGUAAUAGCUCACUAGUCGAGUGACACUGCGCCGAAAAUGUACCGGGGCUAAACAUAUUACCGAAGCUGUGGAUUGUCCUUUGGACAAUGGUAGGAGAGCGUUCUAAGGGCGUUGAAGCAUGAUCGUAAGGACAUGUGGAGCGCUUAGAAGUGAGAAUGCCGGUGUGAGUAGCGAAAGACGGGUGAGAAUCCCGUCCACCGAUUGACUAAGGUUUCCAGAGGAAGGCUCGUCCGCUCUGGGUUAGUCGGGUCCUAAGCUGAGGCCGACAGGCGUAGGCGAUGGAUAACAGGUUGAUAUUCCUGUACCACCUAUAAUCGUUUUAAUCGAUGGGGGGACGCAGUAGGAUAGGCGAAGCGU
rnacentral:rRNA from 1 species